rnacentral:rRNA from 1 species
CAGUUCAGACUGCAGGCUGCAACUCGCCUGCACGAAGUCGGAAUUACUAGUAAUCGUAGGUCAGCAUACUACGGUGAAUACGUUCCCGGGCCUUGUACACACCGCCCGUCAAACCAUGAGAGUUGGCAACACCCGAAGUCGGUAGUCUAACCGCAAGGAGGACGCCGCCGAAGGUGGGGUUGAUGAUUAGGGUUAAGUCGUAACAAGGUAGC